AUGGUUAAAGUUAAUUUAUUUCCCCCCAUUCACGUUGUUUGUUCACUCUUGGCGUUGCCUAGCCGCACACCACAACUGAACUGCCCUCUCUCCGCUUUGGCCCUAAGCACUUUCAAACCCAACACGUCGGCUCCAGCGCGCAUUGGCCCGAACGGGCACAGCACCAGACGGGACAUUUUCAGUGCCAAAGCCGGCCCAGUCCCACCCACUCCUGACGGCCGCGGAAGUUUAGGCAGAACUUCAUGCCUGUCGGAUCGGCUACUCCCGGGACAGAGGCUCUCCCGAUCCCCUCACUGGCUUACACCUGAUGUGCUGGGACACUCAUUGCCGCCGAACUUCCCCGCCAGUGGCUCGGUUACAGCCGAACACGGCGUGGGCAGGCUUCGCACGCCCCGUUCUUGUGCUACAGGUAACCCACCAGCAGCAAAUGAAUCCCACCAGCCACGACAGAGUACGCUUACAGAGUUUCAGGGUCGCUUCAAGCCAAUGGAUCAAACAAAGUACAACAGGUUAACCAAUGCUAUUGCAAAGUGGAUAGCUAUCACUGCAGACCACUCAACAUUGUAAAUGACAGAGUGCUAAGAGAUGUUAUUCAAAUUGCAUCUUCCAAUCAGUCAUAUACUUUGCUCUCUGGAGGAGCAUUGCAUCAGGACCUGUAUCACAACGAGAAAACUACGAAGUUGGAGCUUCUGAAAAAUGCACUAGCUGUUGCUUUGACUGGUGAUCACUGGACAUCCAUGAGCCAUCACAGCUAUCCUGGAGUCACAGCACACCUGAUCGCUGCUGCACGGACAUUGCAGUUGUUUGCUUUCACAGUA
rnacentral:lncRNA from 1 species